rnacentral:tRNA from 1 species
AGGAGUUUAGGUUAACCUAGACCAGAAGCCUUCAAAGCUCCCAGUAAAUAUGAUUUAUUUAACUCCUG